CACGUAGGGUGCGAGCGUUGUCCGGAAUUAUUGGGCGUAAAGAGCUCGUAGGCGGUGUGUCGCGUCGGCCGUGAAAACCUGCAGCUUAACUGUGGGCUUGCGGUCGAUACGGGCAUCACUGGAGUUCGGCAGGGGAGACUGGAAUUCCUGGUGUAGCGGUGAAAUGCGCAGAUAUCAGGAGGAACACCGGUGGCGAAGGCGGGUCUCUGGGCCAGUACUGACGC
rnacentral:rRNA from 1 species